GCCGGGCAUGGUGGCUCGCGCCUGUAGUCCCAGCUACUCGGGAGGCUGAGGCAGGAGAAUCGCUUGAACCCAGGAGGCAGAGGUUGCAGUGAGCUGAGAUUGCACCACUGCACUCCAGCCUGGGUGACAGAGUGAGACUCUGUCUCAA
rnacentral:SRP_RNA from 2 species